rnacentral:rRNA from 1 species
GGGGAAUAUUGCACAAUGGGGGAAACCCUGAUGCAGCGACGCCGCGUGGAGGAAGAAGGUCUUCGGAUUGUAAACUCCUGUUGUUGAGGAAGAUAAUGACGGUACUCAACAAGGAAGUGACGGCUAACUACGUGCCAGCAGCCGCGGUAAAACGUAGGUCACAAGCGUUGUCCGGAAUUACUGGGUGUAAAGGGAGCGCAGGCGGGAAGACAAGUUGGAAGUGAAAUCUAUGGGCUCAACCCAUAAACUGCUUUCAAAACUGUUUUUCUUGAGUAGUGCAGAGGUAGGCGGAAUUCCCGGUGUAGCGGUGGAAUGCGUAGAUAUCGGGAGGAACACCAGUGGCGAAGGCGGCCUACUGGGCACCAACUGACGCUGAGGCUCGAAAGUGUGGGUAGCAAACAGGAUUAGAUACCCUGGUAGUCCACACCGUAAACGAUGAUUACUAGGUGUUGGAGGAUUGACCCCUUCAGUGCCGCAGUUAACACAAUAAGUAAUCCACCUGGGGAGUACGACCGCAAGGUUGAAACUCAAAGGAAUUGACGGGGGCCCGCACAAGCAGUGGAGUAUGUGGUUUAAUUCGACGCAACGCGAAGAACCUUACCAAGUCUUGACAUCCCUUGACGAUGCUGGAAACAGUAUUUCUCUUCGGAGCAAGGAGAUAGGUGGUGCAUGGUUGUCGUCAGCUCGUGUCGUGAGAUGUUGGGUUAAGUCCCGCAACGAGCGCAACCCUUAUGGUCAGUUACUACGCAAGAGGACUCUGGCCAGACUGCCGUUGACAAAACGGAGGAAGGUGGGGACGACGUCAAAUCAUCAUGCCCCUUAUGUCCUGGGCUACACACGUACUACAAUGGCGGUAAACAGAGGGAAGCAAGACCGCGAGGUGGAGCAAACCCCUAAAAGCCGUCCCAGUUCGGAUUGCAGGCUGCAACCCGCCUGUAUGAAGUUGGAAUCGCUAGUAAUCGCGGAUCAGCAUGCCGCGGUGAAUACGUUCCCG